GGUAAGGCACAUGACUUUGACUCAUGUAUGCGUAGGUUCGAGUCCUGCAUCCCCAGCCA
rnacentral:tRNA from 1 species